GUCUACAGUCAUACCACCCUAAACAUGCUCAAUCUCAUCUGGUCUCAGAAGCUAAACAGGGUUGGGUCUGAUUAGUAUUUGGAUGGAAGACAAAUCUUCAAAACAGACUACUCAGAGACA
rnacentral:rRNA from 1 species